ACCCCCGGACAGGGCCAAACAGGAAGGAUAUAACCCCACCCACUUUGCCAAAGCACAGCCCCCACACCACUAGAGGGAUAUCUUCAACCACCAACUUACCAUCCUGAGACUCUUCUCCUUCAAGAUCAAAUGGCUGGCCCUGGUCAUCAUGGGCGUGGUGCUACAGGGGGCUAACCUGUACGGAUAUGUUCGCUGUAAAGUGGGUGGUAGGACCAGUUUGAAGAACAUGGCUACUAACUAUUUUGGACAGGCAAUGACUAAACAAGAAGAGUCAUAGAGAAGGGUGACUGCUCUCAGAUUUUCACUUAUGUUUGCAUUAUUUUGAAUACUAGUAUAUUUAGAGUUUUACUAGAAACUAAUGCAAAAUAGAAACAUUUUGUGACAAGAGUUUUCACAUUAUGAUACCAUUUAAAGUGAGAAAAAGGAUCAUUUCUAGAUAAGUCUGUGCUUUUCCACUGUAGCUAUACUGACUCAAAGCCUUAUCUGUUUUAUUUGUUGUUUUGCAUUUUAUCCCUAGACUUUAUACAAUACGGUGAAAUGUUGUUUCUGACUUGUAUUAUACAAACAUGUUGCCUGUAUAAAACUGAUGGUUGUAAAGCAAUAUAGAAGAUCAAGUUCAUGUGUAAAUAGUAUAUUUAUGUCAACAACAAAAAAAGUGAGGCAUAUUUUUGCGGAAAUACAUUUAUAACAUUUCCAAAAUGAGCUGUGUUUUUUUGAGUUUUUCUGGAUUUACUUCAUGAAGUGCAUUACUAAACUUUUAGGAAUCUAAAAUCUUUCAUUUUAAUUUGAUGUGUGGGGUCAAAGAGUACACACAGGAACCCUUUGUUUUUACACUGAUGCUACUUGAUGUUUAUUAUAUAUGCAUAGUCACUUUACCCCUACCUACAAAUACAA